UUGUAACUGUCAUUCUCCAGGCUGUUUUUCAAAUGUCACCAUUCUGUGAAAUGAAGAAGAAGAACAAAAUGGAGCAGAAGAAAAUAUGAAAUUGCUUUGAUCCACCUGGAAAAUACAAUAGAAAAGGUAUAAUGGACUUGGUACAAUAAACAAAGGAAAGCUACGAAUGGAUGACAAUUCCUGAGAGUGUGAAGCUAAGAAGUGACACUUAAAAUGGGCAGAGGAAGUCAAUAAUGGCUUCAGUUACAAUCUAGGUUAUGCUGUAAUGCUGAGAGAACACUGGGACAGCCUUUAACAUUUACAAGGCAAACCAGAGUUGAACAGAUACAACACAGAGAAGCCUGGUUAGAAAAGAAGUUACAGCAGCGGAAAUUCUUACAGUCAUGCAUUUUUAAAUGCAGAAGAAGAGCCCAUCAGGGGGAAAAAAAAUAACACUCAUUUCUCUGACUAGGUUUUUGUGUGUGACAUAUACAGCUUACUACAGUAGAUGGAAUUUUGCUUUGAUACAAUA